UACGUAGGUGGCGAGCGUUGUCCGGAUUUACUGGGCGUAAAGAGCGCGCAGGCGGUCGUACAAGUCGCGUGUGAAAGCCCCCGGCUCAACUGGGGAGGGUCACGCGAUACUGUUCGACUCGAAGGCAGGAGAGGGUAGUGGAAUUCCCGGUGUAGUGGUGAAACGCGUAGAUAUCGGGAGGAACACCAGUGGCGAAGGCGACUACCUGGCCUGUUCUUGACGCUGAGGCGCGAAAGCUAGGGUAGCAAACGGG
rnacentral:rRNA from 1 species